GGGGUGAGAGAGAGGGAGAGAGGUGUGGAGGGGUGAGAGAGAGGGAGAGAGGUGUGGAGGGGUGAGAGAGAGAUAGAGAGGUGUGGAGGGGUGAGAGAGAGGGAGAGAGGUGUGGAGGGGUGAGAGAGAGAUAGAGAGGUGUGGAGGGGUGAGAGAGAGGGAGAGAGGUGUGGAGGGGUGAGAGAGAGAUAGAGAGGUGUGGAGGGGUGAGAGAGAGGGAGAGAGAGAGGUGGAGGGGUGAGAGAGAUGUGGAGGGGUGAGAGAGGGAGAGAGGUGUGGAGGGGUGAGAGAGAGGGAGAGAGGUGUGGAGGGGUGAGAGAGAGGGAGAGAGAGUGUGGAGGGGUGAGAGAGAGGGAGAGAGAGUGUGGAGGGGUGAGAGAGAUGUGGAGGGGUGAGAGAGAGGGAGAGAGUGUGGAGGGGUGAGAGAGAGGGAGAGAGGUGUGGAGGGGUGAGAGAGAGGGAGAGAGAGAGAAAAAGAAAACGAGAGAGAUAGAGAGGUGUGGAGGGGUGAGAGAGAGGGAGAGAGGUGUGGAGGGGUGAGAGAGAGAUGUGGAGGGGUAAGAGAGAGGUAGAGAGGUGUGGAGGGGUGAGAGAGAGGAGAGAGGUGUGGAGGGGUGAGAGAGAGGGAGAGAGAUGUGGAGGGGUGAGAGAGAGAUAGAGAGGUGUGGAGGGGUGAGAGAGAGGGAGAGAGGUGUGGAGGGUUGAGAGAGAGGUGUGGAGGGGUGAGAGAGAGGGAGAGAGGUGUGGAGGGGUGAGCGAGAGGGAGAGAGAGUGUGACCCACUUCCGGUGCAGGUGUUUGAUCUUGGUUGACACUGAGCACACAGCAGGAAUGACUAUCAACACACGUAGCUGACUGAGAUGGCCUCCAAAACAGAGCAGCACUCCACAACACUGAGAUCAGACAUCUCUGUCUCUCUCACGCUCUCUUAUUGAUGGAUGUGGCGAUAGAAAUACAUCUCUAUAGCUAGUUGGACUUUGAGGAAAUCUAUGUCCUUUCGGG
ensembl:lncRNA